GACGAACGCUGGCGGCGUGCUUAACACAUGCAAGUCGAGCGGUAAGGCCCUUUCGGGGGUACACGAGCGGCGAACGGGUGAGUAACACGUGGGUGACCUGCCCUCAGCUCUGGGAUAAGCCCGGGAAACUGGGUCUAAUACCGGAUAUGACUCCAUGACGCAUGUUGUGGGGUGGAAAGCCUUGUGCGGCUGAGGAUGGGCCCGCGGCCUAUCAGCUUGUUGGUGGGGUGANGGCCUACCAAGGCGACGACGGGUAGCCGGCCUGAGAGGGCGACCGGCCACACUGGGACUGAGACACGGGCCCAGACUCCUACGGGAGGCAGCAGGUGGGGAAUCUUGCGCAAUGGGCGAAAGCCUGACGCAGCGACGCCGCGUGAGGGAUGACGGCC
rnacentral:rRNA from 1 species